GAUGAACGCUGGCGGCGUGCCUAAUACAUGCAAGUCGAGCGAACGGACGAGAAGCUUGCUUCUCUGAUGUUAGCGGCGGACGGGUGAGUAACACGUGGAUAACCUACCUAUAAGACUGGGAUAACUUCGGGAAACCGGAGCUAAUACCGGAUAAUAUUUUGAACCGCAUGGUUCAAAAGUGAAAGACGGUCUUGCUGUCACUUAUAGAUGGAUCCGCGCUGCAUUAGCUAGUUGGUAAGGUAACGGCUUACCAAGGCAACGAUGCAUAGCCGACCUGAGAGGGUGAUAGGCCACACUGGAACUGAGACACGGUCCAGACGCCUACGGGAGGCAGCAGUAGGGAAUCGUACGCAAUGGGCGAAAGCCUGACGGAGCAACGCCGCGUGAGUGAUGAAGGUCUUCGGAUCGUAAAACUCUGUUAUUAGGGAAGAACAGAUGUGUAAGUAACUGUGCACAGCUUGACGGUACCUAAUCAGAAAGCCACGGCUAACUACGUG
rnacentral:rRNA from 1 species